rnacentral:rRNA from 1 species
GAUGAACGCUGGCGGCGUGCCUAAUACAUGCAAGUCGAGCGAACGGACGAGAAGCUUGCUCCUCUGAUGUUAGCGGCGGACGGGUGAGUAACACGUGGAUAACCUACCUAUAAGACUGGGAUAACUUCGGGAAACCGGAGCUAAUACCGGAUAAUAUUUUGAACCGCAUGGUUCAAUAGUGAAAGACGGUUUUGCUGUCACUUAUAGAUGGAUCCGCGCUGCAUUAGCUAGUUGGUAAGGUAACGGCUUACCAAGGCAACGAUGCAUAGCCGACCUGAGAGGGUGAUCGGCCACACUGGAACUGAGACACGGUCCAGACUCCUACGGGAGGCAGCAGUAGGGAAUCUUCCGCAAUGGGCGAAAGCCUGACGGAGCAACGCCGCGUGAGUGAUGAAGGUCUUCGGAUCGUAAAACUCUGUUAUUAGGGAAGAACAUAUGUGUAAGUAACUAUGCACGUCUUGACGGUACCUAAUCAGAAAGCCACGGCUAACUACGUG